ACACUCCUACGGGAGGCAGCAGUGGGGAAUAUUGCACAAUGGGCGCAAGCCUGAUGCAGCCAUGCCGCGUGUAUGAAGAAGGCCUUCGGGUUGUAAAGUACUUUCAGCGGGGAGGAAGGCGAUAAGGUUAAUAACCUUGUCGAUUGACGUUACCCGCAGAAGAAGCACCGGCUAACUCCGUGCCAGCAGCCGCGGUAAUACGGAGGGUGCAAGCGUUAAUCGGAAUUACUGGGCGUAAAGCGCACGCAGGCGGUCUGUCAAGUCGGAUGUGAAAUCCCCGGGCUCAACCUGGGAACUGCAUUCGAAACUGGCAGGCUAGAGUCUUGUAGAGGGGGGUAGAAUUCCAGGUGUAGCGGUGAAAUGCGUAGAGAUCUGGAGGAAUACCGGUGGCGAAGGCGGCCCCCUGGACAAAGACUGACGCUCAGGUGCGAAAGCGUGGGGAGCAAACAGGAUUAGAUACCCGGGUAGUCC
rnacentral:rRNA from 1 species